UUAAGUUAGAAAGGGCGCACGGUGGAUGCCUUGGCACUAGGAGCCGAAGAAGGACGGGACUAACACCGAUAUGCUUUGGGGAGCUGUACGUAAGCGUUGAUCCAGAGAUUUCCGAAUGGGGGAACCCACUAUCUUUAGUCGGAUAGUAUCCUUACGUGAAUACAUAGCGUGAGGAAGGCAGACCCAGGGAACUGAAACAUCUAAGUACCUGGAGGAAGAGAAAGAAAAAUCGAUUUCCUGAGUAGCGGCGAGCGAAACGGAAAGAGCCCAAACCAAGAAGCUUGCUUCUUGGGGUUGUAGGACACUCUAUACGGAGUUACAAAAGAAAGUUAUAAAUGAAGCGGUCUGGAAAGGCCCGCCAAAGACGGUAACAGCCCGGUAGUUGAAAUAGCUUUCCCUCCAGAGUGGAUCCUGAGUACGGCGGAACACGUGAAAUUCCGUCGGAAUCCGGGAGGACCAUCUCCCAAGGCUAAAUACUCCCUAGUGACCGAUAGUGAACCAGUACCGUGAGGGAAAGGUGAAAAGCACCCCGGAAGGGGAGUGAAACAGUUCCUGAAACCGUGUGCCUACAAGUAGUUAGAGCCCGUUAAUGGGUGAUAGCGUGCCUUUUGUAGAAUGAACCGGCGAGUUACGAUUUGUUGCAAGGUUAAGCGGAAAAAGCGGAGCCGUAGCGAAAGCGAGUCUGAAUAGGGCGCAUAAGUAACAGGUCGUAGACCCGAAACCAGGUGAUCUACCCAUGUCCAGGAUGAAGGUAAGGUAAUACUUACUGGAGGUCCGAACCCACGCACGUUGAAAAGUGCGGGGAUGAGGUGUGGGUAGCGGAGAAAUUCCAAUCGAACUUGGAGAUAGCUGGUUCUCUCCGAAAUAGCUUUAGGGCUAGCCUCGAGGUAAAGAGUCAUGGAGGUAGAGCACUGUUUGGACUAGGGGCCCUUCUCGGGUUACCGAAUUCAGAUAAACUCCGAAUGCCAUGUACUUAUACUCGGGAGUCAGACUGCGAGUGAUAAGAUCCGUAGUCGAAAGGGAAACAGCCCAGACCACCAGUUAAGGUCCCCAAAUAUAUGUUAAGUGGAAAAGGAUGUGGGGUUGCUUAGACAACCAGGAUGUUGGCUUAGAAGCAGCCACCAUUGAAAGAGUGCGUAAUAGCUCACUGGUCGAGUGACCCCGCGCCGAAAAUGUACCGGGGCUAAACAUAUUACCGAAACUGUGGAUGAACCUCUUUAGAGGUUCGUGGUAGGAGAGCGUUCUAAGGGCGGUGAAGUCAGACCGGAAGGACUGGUGGAGCGCUUAGAAGUGAGAAUGCCGGUAUGAGUAGCGAAAGAAGGGUGAGAAUCCCUUCCACCGAAUAUCUAAGGUUUCCUGAGGAAGGCUCGUCCGCUCAGGGUUAGUCGGGACCUAAGCCGAGGCCGAUAGGCGUAGGCGAUGGACAACAGGUAGAGAUUCCUGUACCAGUGCUAAUUGUUUAACCGAUGGGGUGACACAGAAGGAUAGGGAAUCGCACGAAUGGAAAUGUGCGUCCAAGCAGUGAGUGUGAGAAGUAGGCAAAUCCGCUUCUCGCGAAGCAUGAGCUGUGAUGGGGAAGGAAAUUAAGUACGGAAGUUCCUGAUUUCACGCUGUCAAGAAAAGCCUCUAGGAAGAGUAGUACUGCCCGUACCGCAAACCGACACAGGUAGAUGAGGAGAGAAUCCUAAGGUGAGCGAGAGAACUCUCGUUAAGGAACUCGGCAAAAUGACCCCGUAACUUCGGGAGAAGGGGUGCUCUAUUAGGGUGCAAGCCCGAGAGAGCCGCAGUGAAUAGGCCCAGGCGACUGUUUAGCAAAAACACAGGUCUCUGCAAAACCGUAAGGUGACGUAUAGGGGCUGACGCCUGCCCGGUGCUGGAAGGUUAAGAGGAGUGCUUAGCUUCGGCGAAGGUACGAAUUGAAGCCCCAGUAAACGGCGGCCGUAACUAUAACGGUCCUAAGGUAGCGAAAUUCCUUGUCGGGUAAGUUCCGACCCGCACGAAAGGCGCAACGAUCUGGGCACUGUCUCAACGAGAGACUCGGUGAAAUUAUAGUACCUGUGAAGAUGCAGGUUACCCGCGACAGGACGGAAAGACCCCGUGGAGCUUUACUGCAACCUGAUAUGGAAUGUUUGUACCGCUUGUACAGGAUAGGUAGGAGCCGAAGAGACGUGUGCGCUAGCAUACGAGGAGGCAAUGGUGGGAUACU
rnacentral:rRNA from 1 species